rnacentral:lncRNA from 1 species
GAGACAGCACCUCACCACUGCGAAGACGGAGAUGACCUCUCUGGGCGGCCGGUGUGACCGGCGUGGAAUCCGGAUGGGAACCUGUGAGAAUCCCACCGGAACUGCAGAACAACCCACUCCAGACGCUGCGCUCCAGCGAACCCUCCAUGCCAGGCAGAAAGGGAUCUUCCAACACGAUAGUUUUUGUGACUUUGGAGAAGACCACAGCCCGAGGGUCGCGGCAGAUUACAGGACACUGUCCCCAGCUGUCACCCCUGGGGAUCAGCCACCCUCCAGGCUGUCUAUCGAUGGACGUUGUCUGUGAGCUGAGACCACCCGAGUCGCUGGACAUCUCUGCCUGCGGUGCCAAAACUGUGCUGUCAGUGACAGUGACGCAGCCUGCGCUGUAUGGAGAGCAGGAAGCCAGAGCAGCUGACCCUCCAGACGGCCAGCCGCAAACCCCACUGCAGGGUCAGCUGCGGUGUCUGCAGGUCUCAUCAGGGAAGGCCCUGGACACGGGCGUUUGGAUGAGGGGAGACUGCUAUUAUGUAAGGGAAGGACCCAUGCAGAGGAAUCUUGUAACAGCCCCUGCUGAACGCCAGGCAUCGUCGGAGACCCUGGGGUAGAAGACAGAGCAGAGUCGAAUUUCUGUGUGGGGUCUCCUUUAAUAACUGCACGGGCGGUCAUGUCGCGUGUCAGGAAAGCAGACUGGACAGUGGGCAGCACGAGGAUGCAGGAGGGCAGUUCCCAGGGGACAGCACCACCUUCCACAGGACGGAAGGGCUGGUGUUGGAACUGAGGCCACAAAGAGGCUGCCCAGGGCUGGCGCUGACGGGCGGUCACAAAGGCCCUGAGGCAGGGCCCUACUGGGGUUGGGAGGGACAGCAAGGGGACAGAACCCAGGCAGGGCCAGUAACUGGGGAAAGAGCAGCAUGGGACAUCUAUGCGCUGACUCUGGCUUUACUCCCACCAGAGGGCUUUGGAGAGUGGUGUGAUGUCACCUGACCUCCAUUUUAUCAAUUAAUUCAUUUAUUUUUGAGCCAGGGUCUCCCUAUGUAACCCAGGUUGGCUUCAAACUUGCAGCGAUCCUCCUGCCUCAGCCUCUAGAAUGCUGGGAUUACAAAUAAGCACUGCCAUAUCUGGCCGUGACUAACAUUUUAAGGGGGGAACAUUCUGGCUCUUGUGCUCAAGCAGACAGCGGGUGGCCAGUCUAACCGGGAGGCUCAGCUGGGCUCUGCUGACUGAGGCUAAGGAAGGCUGUCUCACACGGUGGCCGGACACUCUGGAGUGGUGGGGGAGACGCUGGGUCUGACCCUAAUCCGAAUGAAAAGCUGCCGGAUUUGCUGGCCUACAGCACUGGGUUGUGGAGGCGGGAGAGAGAGGGCGGCCCAGCUCUCCAGGCUGGAGGACGGAUUAGGGCCACGCAGACUGCUCAGCCUAGCGCUGGGCUGUGCGCCCAGUGGGAGCCCGGCCAGCCAGGGCGGGCUCAUAGGGGCAGACUUGUAAUUUGCAUCCCACAUCCGCCUCACCCAGAGCACUUUUGGGAGGAG